CCUACGGGCGGCAGCAGUGAGGAAUAUUGGUCAAUGGACGAGAGUCUGAACCAGCCAAGUAGCGUGAAGGAUGACUGCCCUAUGGGUUGUAAACUUCUUUUAUAUGGGAAUAAAAUGUUCCACGUGUGGGAUUUUGUAUGUACCAUAUGAAUAAGGAUCGGCUAACUCCGUGCCAGCAGCCGCGGUAAUACGGAGGAUCCGAGCGUUAUCCGGAUUUAUUGGGUUUAAAGGGGGCGGAGGUGGAUUUGUAAGUCAGUUGUGAAAGUUUGCGGCUCAACCGGAAAAUUGCAGUUGAAACUGGCAGUCUUGAGUACAGUAGAGGUGGGCGGAAUUCGUGGUGUAGCGGUGAAAUGCUUAGAUAUCACGAAGAACUCCGAUUGCGAAGGCAGUUCACUGGACUGCAACUGACACGGAGGCUCGAAAGUGUGGGUAUCAAACAGGAUUAGAUACCCGAGUAGUC
rnacentral:rRNA from 1 species